CGGACCACGCGGAGGGGGGACGUGCGCGUGAUCACGAAGCGAGACGGGCGAACACGAGGACGAGAGAUCGGUGGAUGACGAAGAGCGGACGAAGAACAAAGGAUGGUGGAAAGGAGAAGUGAAAUAGAGAGGAAAACGGGGAGGGAGGGGGGGAAGGAGAGAGAAGAGAGAAGGAGAUGCGGCGUUUAGCCCGAAGUUUUGUCACGAGUGAGUGUACACGAGAGUCACGAGUUAUUUACCCACGAGUUAAUUCCGUCUAAGUUCUGUCACACAGAGGAAAUUGGGAAUGGGUGUCCAGGACACCUCGAAAUGCCGGGGCGUCUCUCGUUUUAUCUCGGGGAAUUCG